GACAGCAGCCGCCGCGGUAAUACGGAGGGGGCUAGCGUUGUUCGGAAUUACUGGGCGUAAAGCGCACGUAGGCGGCUUUGUAAGUUAGAGGUGAAAGCCCGGAGCUCAACUCCGGAAUUGCCUUUAAGACUGCAGAGCUAGCAGGUGAGAGAGGUGAGUGGAAUUCCGAGUGUAGAGGUGAAAUUCGUAGAUAUUCGGAAGAACACCAGUGGCGAAGGCGGCUCACUGGCUCAUACUGGACGCUGAGGUGCGAAAGCGUGGGGAGCAAACAGGAUUAGAUACCCGAGUGUCCCUGUCUCUUAUACA
rnacentral:rRNA from 1 species